GGCACUGGAAUAAUAAGAGGAUCUUCUCCAAUAUGAGCAUCACAGUAUGCCAAUAAGUCUGCUGCAGCCUUGGAUACCUUCAUCCUAUCCAUGUAUGCUUCCAUUUUUAAUUGCUCCACAGCUUUCCUGGCUUGAGAUAUAUUGGUUGUACUGUUUGAUGUUAGUUCCUUCAUUUUGUUUUCCCUCCGGCGGCGCGCAGCUCCCGGCACGCGGCGAGGGUCGGCUCCCGGCGGGCGGCGGC
rnacentral:lncRNA from 1 species